rnacentral:ncRNA from 2 species
UACGUAGGGUGCGAGCGUUGUCCGGAAUUAUUGGGCGUAAAGAGCUCGUAGGCGGUGUGUCACGUCGGCCGUGAAAACCUGGGGCUCAACUCUGGGCGUGCGGUCGAUACGGGCAUCACUAGAGUUCGGCAGGGGAGACUGGAAUUCCUGGUGUAGCGGUGAAAUGCGCAGAUAUCAGGAGGAACACCGGUGGCGAAGGCGGGUCUCUGGGCCGAUACUGACGCUGAGGAGCGAAAGCAUGGGGAGCGAACAGG